rnacentral:rRNA from 1 species
GGAGCUAAUACCGAUAAUAUUUCGAACCGCAUGGUUCGAUAGUGAAAGGUGGUUUGCUAUCACUUAUAGAUGGACCCGCGCCGUAUUAGCUAGUUGGUAAGGUAACGGCUUACCAAGGCGACGAUACGUAGCCGACCUGAGAGGGUGAUCGGCCACACUGGAACUGAGACACGGUCCAGACUCCUACGGGAGGCAGCAGAC